AAUCGUGCUCCGGGGUCGGUGAAAGUCCGAACCGGCGGUUAUAGUCCGCGACCCGCCAGACCUUCAUCGGUCUGCCGGUUGAGCCGGUGAAAUUCCGGCACCGACAGUUAAAGUCUGGAUGGGAGAAGCACGAAC
rnacentral:ncRNA from 1 species